UACAGAGGUCUCAAGCGUUGUUCGGAUUCAUUGGGCGUAAAGGGUGCGUAGGCGGCGCGGUAAGUCGGGUGUGAAAUCUUGGAGCUUAACUCCGAAACUGCAUUCGAUACUGCCGUGCUUGAGGACUGGAGAGGAGACUGGAAUUUACGGUGUAGCGGUGAAAUGCGUAGAUAUCUGGAGGAAUACCGGUGGCGAAGGCGGCAUCCUGGACCGGCAUUGACGCUGAGUGAGCGAAAGCCAGGGGAGCAAACGGG
rnacentral:rRNA from 1 species